rnacentral:rRNA from 1 species
UGGGGAAUAUUGGACAAUGGGCGAAAGCCUGAUCCAGCCAUGCCGCGUGUGUGAAGAAGGUCUUCGGAUUGUAAAGCACUUUAAGUUGGGAGGAAGGGCAGUAAGCGAAUACCUUGCUGUUUUGACGUUACCGACAGAAUAAGCACCGGCUAACUCUGUGCCAGCAGCCGCGGUAAUACAGAGGGUGCAAGCGUUAAUCGGAAUUACUGGGCGUAAAGCGCGCGUAGGUGGUUCGUUAAGUUGAAUGUGAAAGCCCCGGGCUCAACCUGGGAACUGCCUCCAAAACUGGCGAGCUAGAGUAGGGCAGAGGGUGGUGGAAUUUCCUGUGUAGCGGUGAAAUGCGUAGAUAUAGGAAGGAACACCAGUAGCGAAGGCGACCACCUGGGCUCAUACUGACACUAAGGUGCGAAAGCGUGGGGAGCAAACAGG